UACGAAGGGGGCUAGCGUUGCUCGGAAUCACUGGGCGUAAAGCGCACGUAGGCGGUUUGCUAAGUCAGGGGUGAAAUCCUGGAGCUCAACUCCAGAACUGCCUUUGAUACUGGCGGACUUGAGUUCGGGAGAGGUGAGUGGAACUGCGAGUGUAGAGGUGAAAUUCGUAGAUAUUCGGAAGAACACCAGUGGCGAAGGCGGCUCACUGGACUGGUAUUGACGCUGAGGUGCGAAAGCGUGGGGAGCAAACAGG
rnacentral:rRNA from 1 species